UACGGAAGGGGCUAGCGUUGUUCGGAAUUACUGGGCGUAAAGCGCGCGUAGGCGGUUGAUCGAGUGAGACGUGAAAGGCCUGGGCUCAACCUGGGAACGGCGUUUCAGACUGAGCGACUGGAGUCCGGAAGAGGAUGGUGGAAUUCCCAGUGUAGAGGUGAAAUUCGUAGAUAUUGGGAGGAACACCGGUGGCGAAGGCGGCCAUCUGGUCCGGUACUGACGCUGUAGCGCGAAAGCGUGGGGAGCAAACAGG
rnacentral:rRNA from 1 species